UUUGCAAACUUGGACACGAGUUGGGCGUUUUAUUCACUUUCUCUACUACCCUCCUCCCUUUGGGAGCCCCAGGGGCUGGAGUAAGCACGCUACCACCCACUAUACCUCUCAGUGCCCGCGGCACAGGAGCCGCACUCGACUUUGCAUCCCCCCAGGGCCUGUACACGCCGGAAAAGCUCCCGCGGGGUGCGGUCGCUGGGCCUCGUCACGUGAUCCCCACUCAACGCCCCUGAGCGGGGGGGGGAGCAGCGAGCAAGUGCGCAUGCGCAUCCCUUCUAGCUCUUCCCCUCCACCCCCCACCCGCCCCCUUGGCUCGGACGCAACCACUGUCAGCUCCUCCCCCUCCUCCUCCUUCAUCCUUCCUGACAUUCACUCCCUUCCCCCAGCCAAUUGGUUACGUCAGGCAGACAGGCCGAAGAACCAAUCACGACGCUGUGCUCAGAAGCCGCCACGCGGAACCGGCCGGAUCCGACUAAUAGGGGCCCUUGGAGCGGCCACGCCUCAACCGGGCAGGGUAGCUUGGGCCCAGUGGGCGGUGCUUCUCC
rnacentral:lncRNA from 10 species